CGGUAGGCCUGCCUGAAGGGGCUGAGGAAUUUGCAAGCCUAUGGGUACUGGGGAUAGAUAGACGGUGCAACUGUUUGCCUGAACGGGAAUGCCUGGUAUGCAAAGAUCAUCAACCCAGACCGAUUGU
rnacentral:rRNA from 1 species